UCAAACUUGGUCAUUUAGAGGAAGUAAAAGUCGUAACAAGGUUUCCGUAGGUGAACCUGCGGAAGGAUCAUUAACGAGUUUUGAAACGGGGUUGUAGCUGGCCUCCCGAGGCACUGUGCACGCCCCCGCUCAUCCACUCUACCCCUGUGCACUUACCGUAGGUCUCUUUCGGUGCGGGGGAGGCGCUUUGUUGCGCCUCUUUCAAUCCGGAGGGUGGCUUAUGUAUCACUACAAACUACAGAAAGUACCAGAAUGUCUAUUGCGAUUGUAACGCAUCUAUAUACAACUUUCAGCAACGGAUCUCUUGGCUCUCGCAUCGAUGAAGAACGCAGC
rnacentral:misc_RNA from 1 species